GAUAAUAGAAGAACAAUACAUAACCUAUAAUUUAUCAACACAAAUAUAACCUGCAAAUCUUGGAAAUUUCAUUUACUAAUAAAUAAAAAUAUUUUAUUUUCUAAUAAAAUGCCUCCCCGAAGAAAGACUAAUCUCAGCAGAUUAACUGCAAGAGCGAGGAAAAUGAAGCGAAAACGUGCAGCAGAAUCUCAAAUAGAAAGAGAAAAACGCCUAGCGAGGGACAGGUUAAGGAAAGCUUAUACAAGGGCUAAGGAGACGCCAGAACAACGUGAGGAACGUUUAAAAAUUGGCAGAAUUCGUAUGAGGCUUUCUCGAAAAAAUCGUACAAGUAGAAUGAAACUAAAAUCAGAAGGAAAUUCUUCAAACUCGUCCAAGGGUGAGAAGGGAAAAGACUUUCUAUUAGACGAAAAACUACUAAUAAGAAUAAACUGCAACUAUGAAGAGGUUGGCAAAAAAAUACAGUCAUCUGUUAACCCCAGUAAGGUACCUGAUUGUACUGAAACAGUAAUUAUUAAACUAGAACCUCCAUCAUCACCUUUGCCUUUUUUACCUGUUUAAAGAUAGAUGUAUUAAAUUUAUUUGAAUUUAAAUGACAUCCAUCUGCAAAUGCAGAUGCCCGAAAAGUAAGAAUUAAUUUCCAGUAAUGCAAUAUGCUAAAGAAGCGAAAUAAUGUGGAGUUUAUAACAUAAUUCUUUAAAAAAGGAAUAUUGUGGACAUGGAUCAAGUUAACUGAAAGGAAUCACAAAUUGCCACACCAGAAUCACAUUAAUUUAAGUGUAAAAACUUGAUGUUAAUCAAAUAUGAAAAGUUGAAGAUAAUGAGUAAAUAAAUAUUUUAUAUGCA